rnacentral:misc_RNA from 1 species
AACGCACAUUGCGCCCUGUGGUAUUCCGCAGGGCAUGCCUGUUCGAGCGUCAUUAUAACCACUCACGCCUGGCGUGGUGUUGGGACCCGCGGUUCCGCGGUCCUCAAACCCAGUGGCGGUGCCCGUGGGCUCUAAGCGUAGUAAUACUCCUCGCUAUAGGGUCCCGCGGGUUGCCCGCCAGAACCCCCAAAUUCUCUAGGUUGACCUCGGAUCAGGUAGGGAUACCCGCUGAACUUAA